ACACCGCCCGUCACACCAUGGGAGUUGGUCUUACCCGACGGCGCUGCGCCAACCGCAAGGAGGCAGGCGACCACGGUAGGGUCAGCGACUGGGGUGAAGUCGUAACAAGGUAGCCGUAGGGGAACCUGCGGCUGGAUCACCUCCUUUCUAAGG
rnacentral:rRNA from 1 species